AUGCAGAAGUGCUCGAAUGCCGUGCGGAAGUCCGGGAUGUACGGCUUGAUCCCGCGGCUCACCACCUUGCGCGCGAUGAAGGACAGCGCGAACAGCAGCUGCUCCGACGCCGGGAGCACCAGGGGCCCCAUGGCCGUGAUGUUCGCCUUCAGCGCGUCGCCGGCCACGCUCAUCAGGUCCUUGGACAGGUUGAUGCCCACGUUGCCCCGGUCGUCCUCCUCCUGGUACACGCAGCGGUACGCGCCGUCCUGGGCGCCCGUCAGCGUCCGCACCACGCGCGCCAGCCGGAACCGCGCGUUGGCGCCGUUGGUGGAGAGCAGCACGGCGGCGCCGCCCAUGCGGAAGAGGCAGUUGGGCAGGAGCAUGGCGCGCUCCUUGCCCAUGUAG
rnacentral:rRNA from 1 species